rnacentral:rRNA from 1 species
GGCUUACACAUGCAAGUCGAGGGGUAACAGGGAUUGCUUGCAAUCCGCUGACGACCGGCGAACGGGUGCGUAACGCGUAUGCAACCUACCUUUUACAGGGGGAUAGCCCAAAGAAAUUUGGAAUAACACCCCAUACGAUCUUUAUUUGGCAUCAAUUAGAGAAGAAAACUCAGGUGGUAAAAGAUGGGCAUGCGUCCUAUUAGUUAGUUGGUAAGGUAACGGCUUACCAAGACUACGAUAGGUAGGGGUCCUGAGAGGGAGAUCCCCCACACUGGUACUGAGACACGGACCAGACUCCUACGGGAGGCAGCAGUGAGGAAUAUUGGACAAUGGAGGCAACUCUGAUCCAGCCAUGCCGCGUGCAGGAAGACUGCCCUAUGGGUUGUAAACUGCUUUUAUACAGGAAGAAUUGCAUCUACGUGUAGUUGCUUGACGGUACUGUACGAAUAAGGAUCGGCUAACUCCGUGCCAGCAGCCGCGGUAAUACGGAGGAUCCAAGCGUUAUCCGGAAUUAUUGGGUUUAAAGGGUCCGUAGGCGGUUUUUUAAGUCAGAGGUGAAAUCCUGCAGCUCAACUGUAGCAUUGCCUUUGAUACUGAAAGACUUGAGUUAUUGUGAAGUAGUUAGAAUGUGUAGUGUAGCGGUGAAAUGCAUAGAUAUUACACAGAAUACCGAUUGCGAAAGCAGAUUACUAACAAUAUACUGACGCUCAUGGACGAAAGCGUGGGUAGCGAACAGGAUUAGAUACCCUGGUAGUCCACGCCGUAAACGAUGGAUACUAGCUGUUCGAUCAACAUUGGUUGAUUGAGUGGUUAAGCGAAAGUGAUAAGUAUCCCACCUGGGGAGUACGCUCGCAAGAGUGAAACUCAAAGGAAUUGACGGGGGCCCGCACAAGCGGUGAGCAUGUGUUUAAUUCGAUGAUACGCGAGAACCUUACCAGGGCUUAAAUGUAAGUUGCAUAGAUCAGAGAUGAUCUUUUCUUCGACUACUUACAGUGCUGCAUGUUGUCGUCAGCUCGUGCCGUGGAGGUGUCAGUUAGUCCUAUAACGAGCGGCAC